UACGUAGGGGGCGAGCGUUGUCCGGAUUCAUUGGGCGUAAAGCGCGUGCAGGCGGCCUGGUAAGUCGGCCGUGAAAGCGCCAGGCUUAACCUGGCGAGGUCGGGCGAGACUGCUAGGCUGGAGGCCGGUAGAGGGCGGUGGAAUUCCGGGUGUAGUGGUGGAAUGCGUAGAGAUCCGGAGGAACACCAGUGGCGAAGGCGGCCGCCUGGGCCGGACCUGACGCUGAGACGCGAAAGCGUGGGGAGCGAUCCGG
rnacentral:rRNA from 1 species